UACAUAACUAAAAGUUUUCCACCACUGGUGGCUUCUUUUAAUAUGCCAUUCUCUGUUUCGGGUUUCGUCAUGCCCUGCAACAUUUCAGUGACUCAUGAACUGAGCCUUAACACUCCAGGAUAAGUAUGUUGCUUAUUUCCAUGAUGUCAUCAUUCACGCUGAGGAUUGGGACUUAUCUCAGGCUGUCUUACAGUCAUUAAAGGAGGCCAUGUUAACUGUUCACACUUCUAAGAACAAACUAGAUAUUACCACAGUGAAGCAUUUUGGGUAUUUCAUAGACUGAGGAAUGGUCAGACCCUAAAUGGACAGGAAGCCAUAAGCUAAACUGAUACAUUCUGAGUGAAAGAAGUGAGGCAUUCCUAGGGUUGUUUAGGUACUACAGGAAAUUUGUGCCUCACUUUCCAGCAGUAGGAAGCCCUUCAUCUUCUUUAAUGAAAAGAAAGAUGCCCCUGUAUAUAAAUUUAAUGGUAGAAGCAGUUAAUCUUUUAAAAAAAUAAGAGAGACUACACCUAGAGCCAUUACUAGCAUCCUCCAGUUUUAUUAACUCCUUUCUAGUGUACAUAGUUCAGAAGUGGAACUGGGGGCCUUGUUGUCACAGCUCUGGGGUGGGGAAGAGCACCCAGUUUAUUUGAGAUGCAAGUUAAGAGAGGCAAGAUUAAAUAUUCCACAACUGAGAGGGAGUGUUUAUCAAUAAAAUGAGCCCUGUCUUCCUUGAAAUUUGAUUUCAAGCUGUAGAGGACAUUAAAUGAUACAGUUGUAGGUCUCACUAAGUAAAAUAGUUAAAUAAGUGUUAUAUUUAUGUAUAGAGUUUGAAAAGUAAAUAGUAUGUACACUGGUGAAAUAGUGUCUCUUUUAUAUAAAGAAUAUAGCUGAAACUUUUAUUGUAAUUAAAAACAUCCCUUUAAAUAAGAAACCUCCUGUCAUAAGCAGAAUUCCACUGGAGUUUACUAAAAGACUGGUCCUUCAGUUACAUGGGGUAUAAAGGAGGACUUUAACCCUAACUGUUAGAGAGAAGUUUGCAUUGUGUACAAAGGGGGUCAGUGCCAGGAAAGCGAGUGCUAGGAAGAUUGCCUGUCCCACAGUAAGAUGACCUAGAAGACUUUGGUGAACCUGGAGAUUUUCUGUCAAGGAAUCCAGGUGAUGGACCACACAGUCAUCCUCAGACAGCCUCUUGUUGGUAUGAGAGACCAUGUAUACAGAUACACAUGGAUGCUACAGAAAGAGAAUACAGUAAAAUGGCUACAUGAUUAAUAAAAUAAGUAACUACUAUAAAUGAAACCAUCAAGUGAAAGAGACAUGAUAUGAGAGUACAUUACUGUACGGCAGAAUUAAAUAAGGUAUUAGUAGGAAAGCACAGAGUAAUAAAGGGAAAUAAAUGAGCAUGUAGAAUAAGUGAAAGAGACAUGAUAUGAGAGUACAUUACUGUACUGCAGAAUUAAAUAAGGUAUUAGUACGAAAGCAUAGAGUAAUAAAGGGAAAUAAAUGAGUAUGUAGAAUAAGUGAAAGAGACAUUACUGUACUGCAGAAUUAAAUAAGGUAUUAGUAGGAAAGCAUAGAAUAAUAAAGGGUAAUAAAUGAGCGUGUAGAAUAAGUGAAAGAGACAUGAUAUGAGAGUACAUUACUGUACUGCAGAAUUAAAUAAGGUAUUAGUAGGAAAGCAUAGAAUAAUAAAGGGAAAUAAAUGAGCAUGUAGAAUAAGUGAAAGAGACAUGAUAUGAGAGUACAUUACUGUACUGCAGAAUUAAAUAAGGUGUUAGUAGGAAAGCAUAGAGUAAUAAAGGGAAAUAAAUGAGCGUGUAGAAUAAGUGAAAGAGACAUGAUAUGAGAGUACAUUACUGUACUGCAGAAUUAAAUAAGGUAUUAGUAGGAAAGCAUAGAGUAAUAAAGGGAAAUAAAUGAGCGUGUAGAAUAAGUGAAAGAGACAUGAUAUAAGAGUACAUUACUGUACUGCAGAAUUAAAUAAGGUAUUAGUAGGAAAGCAUAGAAUAAUAAAGGGAAAUAAAUGAGCAUGUAGAAUAAGUGAAAGAGACAUGAUAUGAGAGUACAUUACUGUACUGCAGAAUUAAAUAAGGUAUUAGUAGGAAAGCACAGAGUAAUAAAGGGAAAUAAAUGAGCGUGUAGAAUAAGUGAAAGAGACAUAUCAGAGUAUAUUACUGUACUGCAGAAUUAAAUAAGGUAUUAGUAGGAAAGCAUAGAAUAAUAAAGGGAAAUAAAUGAGUGUGUAGAAUAAGUGAAAGAGACAUGAUAUGAGAGUACAUUACUGUACUGCAGAAGUAAAUAAGGUAUUAGUAGGAAAGCAUAGAGCAAUAAAGGGAAAUAAAUGAGCAUGUAGAAUAAGUGAGAGAGACAUGAUAUGAGAGUACAUUACUGUACUGCAGAAUUAAAUAAGGUAUUAGUAGGAAAGCAUAGAGUAAUAAAGGAAAAUAAAUGAGCCUGUAGAAUAAGUGAAAGAGACAUGAUAUGAGAGUACAUUACUGUACUGCAGAAUUAAAUAAGGUAUUAGUAGGAAAGCAUAGAAUAAUAAAGGGAAAUAAAUGAGUGUGUAGAAUAAGUGAAAGAGACAUGAUAUGAGAGUGCAUUACUGUACUGCAGAAUUAAAUAAGGUAUUAGUAGGAAAGCAUAGAGUAAUAAAGGGUAAUAAAUGAGCAUGUAGAAUAAGUGAAAGAGACAUGAUAUGAGAGUACAUUACUGUACUGCAGAAUUAAAUAAGGUAUUAGUAGGAAAGCAUAGAGUAAUAAAGGGAAAUAAAUGAGCAUGUAGAAUAAGUGAAAGAGACAUGAUAUGAGAG